rnacentral:lncRNA from 1 species
CCGGCUGUGGUUGGUACGAAGAAUGUAAUUAAUGCUGCAGCUGAAGCCCAAGUCCGGCGGGUUGUGUUCACGUCAUCAAUUGGCGCUGUCUACAUGGACCCCAACCGGAGCCCGGACGUCGUCGUGGAUGAAUCUUGUUGGAGCGAUCUGGAGUUUUGCAAAAACACCAAGGUAUCCAACUUUAGUCAAAUGCGUUCUUAAUUAAUUACCAAUUAUUGCGGAGCAUAUACUCUGGCACUUUCUUUGAAAGUUGACUAACUAGGAAGAAAAUUGCUUGCGGACCUUCCAAAAGAAUAUGUAGGAAUAAAAUCAUUAGUCAAAUAUGUACGGCUGAUCUUUGAUGAACUUUCGCUUCAGAAUUGGUACUGUUAUGGGAAGAUGGUGGCGGAGCAGGCGGCAUGGGAGAC